UACGGAGGGGCUAGCGUUGUUCGGAAUUACUGGGCGUAAAGCGCGCGUAGGCGGAUCUGCAAGUCGGGGGUGAAAUCCCGAGGCUCAACCUCGGAACUGCCUUCGAUACUGGCGAUCUUCGAGUCCGGGAGAGGUGAGUGGAACUGCGAGUGUAGAGGUGAAAUUCGUAGAUAUUCGCAAGAACACCAGUGGCGAAGGCGGCUCACUGGCCCGAUACUGACGCUGAGGCACGAAAGCGUGGGGAGCAAACAGGG
rnacentral:rRNA from 1 species